CGUAUCAACAGUGGCUGCAAGUUGUCUUUGAUUACUUGUGGCUCUGCCCACCCCAUUUGGGAUUACGGGCGUGAGUUUAUGUAUGUAUGUAUGCAGUUUACAUACUGGGAUGUAGAUUUUUACCAUGUUAUUGUUAACAAAACCCUAGAUUAGUUAAGCAUAAUAAAUUAUUUACUUGAAA